rnacentral:rRNA from 1 species
GACAACGCUGGCGGCGUGCUUAACACAUGCAAGUCGAACGGGAGUAUUGAAGAAGCUUGCUUUAGAGAUACUUUAGUGGCGGACGGGUGAGUAACGCGUGAGGAGCUGUCCUAUGCAGGGGGACAACAGCUGGAAACGGCUGCUAAUACCCCAUAAGCCGAGAGGUAAAAGGAUCAAUCCGGCAGAGGAGGUACUCGCGUCCUAUCAGCUAGUAGGUGAGGUAACGGCUCACCUAGGCGAAGACGGGUAGCCGGCCUGAGAGGGCGAACGGCCACACUGGAACUGAGAUACGGUCCAGACUCCUACGGGAGGCAGCAGUGGGGAAUAUUGGGCAAUGGGGGAAACCCUGACCCAGCGACGCCGCGUGGGUGAAGAAAUCCUUCGGGAUGUAAAGCCCUGUUGUAUGGGAAGAGCGGAAGACGGUACCAUACGAGGAAGCCCCGGCAAACUACGUG